CAAUAACGACGUUGCUAACAUCAUCGUCAAAUAUAUUUAGCUCUGCGUAUGGCUGGAACACAUCGUUUCUAUUCGUUUUUGUGUUGUCGUCGAAUUUGUUGCUUCAUUCAUUCGCGUUUGGUUCGUCCGUAUGUUUCGGUUGAUUUUGGUUUGGUUGGGUUUCAACUUUUCAGACACUGGCAUUCCGUUGCUUCGAUAACACAGUGCAAGUGCCAAGGGUAUAAAUAUAAAUAUAAAGUUUAUUAUAAAACUGAAAAAACAAAAAAAAACUUGAAUAAACAAAAAUUAAUUUUAACAACACAAAAAAUAAGUAACAGAUAAAGUGUGAAAUAUGAGACUGACACAAGUGCUGCAAUGCUAAAAUUUAAAUAAAGAAUUUUAAAGACUUGUUAAUUAAGCGCUAGACUAGUCCGAAUCGAUGCAAUAAUGGACCUGCAUAUAUGUUAAAUUUACUAAAAAUUUGCAGUGUACGAACUACGAAAUAAACCAAUUCGAAACGCUGAGUUAUUUGACAAGUUGUCACAGUUGUCAUAGUUAUCUGUUAAAUACGAAAAGACGGCGCUAGACUAAUUAGAAAAAAAUUGAGAAAAUCACAAAAAAUUAUCUACAAAAUUAUUAAUAAUUAUAAGUAAUCACAAAGUGGUUAGUAAGUCGCUAAUUAUGAACUUGUUUCGUUUACGAAUUGCAUCUCGUUUGCCAGCGGUUCGAAUAGAGCUCGUGCUCAAACAAUCAACAUUAGGCACACUGCAAAAUCUACUGCAAUUGUAGUGGGAUUUUCAACCUAGUGUAUAUGUGCUAAGUCGGACUCUGCUCUAGGCUAGCCAUGUCUAUCGGGAAACUUUCAUACGCGCGGCAUACUUUAAACCGGAUGUGAACUUGGACACUGCAAUUCAUUAACAAUGAUUAAAAUCGUACUCUUAGACAAAAUAGCGUUUGAUUUCUAACAGUGUAUAAAUUACACGUAAAAUGAAAAACUUCAAAUUAUAAAAACAGAGUGUAUCGAAAAAUGCAUACAAAUUUCAUAGCCAUCCACAAUGUGCUUCUCGACAAAUCAGUACUAACUCUACAAAUAGACCAAGUAAAGACUGCUAACGGCAUUUCCCUUGCCAGGAACGCAGGUCUUGGCUUUACUUUUUCUUAUUAAAUCGCAGUUUAAUCUGCGCAUUUAUUUAAAAUUAGAAAAAAAACUGAGCCGCUCACGUUUAAGUUUUCAUUUAAUUAAGUCGUAAAUUAAUUCGCAGCUUAAUGGAUUCUUUUCCGACGUUUUUGUAUCCGAACGCUGCUACUGCCGAGCUAAUGAAAGUACCUAAUAAUGGGGAAUGGGAAAUAUCCACAUAAAAGCUACGUUUUGUGAAAUUUGUAAACUACUUAUGCAACUACUUAAAUGCUCGCAUUUCACAGAAAAACGUUUUUUGAUGUGUGGCCAUUAGCACAGACGAAGGCACAAUUGUGACGUAUGCGGAAAUUUGUUUAGUAAACAAAAUAAAGUCAACAAGGCUUCAUAAAAAAACAAACAAAAGCCUAUUUUCAUAUCCAAAAAGCCCUGCUUGAACUGAAAUCAUUUGCCGAUUCAGCUAGUGUGACAGCAAUGUUAUUAACUUACUCACUGUAGUGCUUUGCCAAAUUGACGGUAUAAUAAAUUCUUGGCUGAACUCAUGCAAUAAAGAAUAGCAAAUCAAGAACAUCCUUUGAUAAAAUCUGAAUGAUAUUGUAAGAAAAUGGAAAAACUGCCCAAAAUGUACAAAAUGCCAGAAGACGUUAUGCUUAAAAGAAGAAAAGAACAACAGCUACAAAGACCUUAAAGGUGCUUAACUUUUGCGUUCGUGCAUUCGUGCGUCUCUAGACGUUGAUCAGGAUACUCGCCAGAAAGAAUUUAGCUCGUAAAUGAAGUGUGAAUCAACUGCAGUAGCGCUACUGCUUAAAUUGCUGUCUGUCUGAGGCCUGCGCUGUUGCCUACGCUACUUGUCACAGCAAAUGUUACAUUCAACGGUAACUUUUUUGUGCUUUAUUAAAGCGCUAUUUUUGUACCUUAUACUUUUGCACUAUACUAAUGGAUAUUUGAUAAGAAAUUGCAUGAAAAAAACCGGAAAAUUUUAAAAAAAUACUUCGAGAGCUGCAACGCAAAAUAGGCUACCAUCAAGUCACCACUCUACAACGACACACAGGAACUAAAGUCCUCUAUACUUCAUGUUGACACACGUGGUCUUUGAUAUAUUAAUAUUUGCUGCGGCCAGCGUCAUGAGUUCAAUAUCUAUCCGAAGGACAGACGGACAGGACAGAUGGGUUUCUGUAUGUACGUAACUGCAUUUGUUUCCUUUUCCGUCGUUUUCAGCUUUUUAGUUUUUAAUGCAUUUUAAAUAUUAAUGGCUCGGUGCGACCGGAUGAUGGUCUUCAACGACCGUUUUUUCACACAGGUCGGUGGGACUUUCGUCCGUUUGUAACGUCAUUUGUCAGCAAAGAAC